rnacentral:rRNA from 1 species
UACAGAGGGGGCAAGCGUUGUUCGGAAUUACUGGGCGUAAAGGGCGCGUAGGCGGCCUGCUAAGUCGAACGUGAAAUCCCCGGGCUCAACCCGGGAACUGCGUCCGAUACUGGCAGGCUUGAAUUCGGGAGAGGGAUGCGGAAUUCCACGUGUAGCAGUGAAAUGCGUAGAGAUGUGGAGGAACACCGAUGGCGAAGGCAGCCUCCUGGGCCAGCACUGACGCUCAUGCACGAAAGCGUGGGGAGCAAACAGG